UACCUCCAUAGAUAACGGUUGUUACAAGCUCAUUUUGGCAUUAGUCACAGAAUUGGACAAAGUGGACAAACACAAAUGCAAAGACUCAGAUGUUGCAGUCUCAGUCCGUCUGCAACCAGAUUGAGACCGAUGUUGUAUUUGGAAUCUGAUCACGACCGCUCCAGGUGGAUGAGUUUUGUACAUAUGUCAAAACACGUAAUUGGGGUAUUUUUCAUUUAACACUAUCCAUUUUUAGGCUCAAUAGAAUAUGAAUAAACCUUAUUAAAGGUCUCAACACUAUAUACUUCGUCAAUAAAGUCUGUUGGAUUUAAUUUCUAUCCAUAUAUGACACUCAUCUCAUGGUGACAAUAGAGUCCACAUAAAUCUCAUGUUCUACAA